rnacentral:rRNA from 1 species
CCUACGGGAGGCAGCAGUGGGGAAUAUUGGACAAUGGGCGAAAGCCUGAUCCAGCAAUGCCGCGUGAGUGAUGAAGGCCUUCGGGUCGUAAAGCUCUUUUACCAGGGAUGAUAAUGACAGUACCUGGAGAAUAAGCUCCGGCUAACUCCGUGCCAGCAGCCGCGGUAAUACGGAGGGAGCUAGCGUUGUUCGGAAUUACUGGGCGUAAAGAGUACGUAGGCGGUUAUUCAAGUCAGAGGUGAAAGCCCGGGGCUCAACCCCGGAACUGCCUUUGAAACUAGAUAACUAGAGUCUUGGAGAGGUUAGUGGAAUUCCGAGUGUAGAGGUGAAAUUCGUAGAUAUUCGGAAGAACACCAGUGGCGAAGGCGACUAACUGGACAAGUACUGACGCUGAGGUACGAAAGCGUGGGGAGCAAACAGGAUUAGAUACCCUGGUAGUCCACGCCGUAAACGAUGAUAACUAGUUGUUCGGUCACUUGGUGACUGAGUGACGCAGCUAACGCAUUAAGUUAUCCGCCUGGGGAGUACGGUCGCAAGNUUAAAACUCAAAGGAAUUGACGGNUGAGAGNGCGAGACGACGACGAGGAGAG